ACUCAAACUAACUUUGGAGUUAAGGACACAGAAGUCUGCUUGUGUGAGGAGGAGGUGGUUUUCUCAGCAUCUUCAGAAGAGAGGGAAAGACAUAAAAUAAUGUUAAAAGCCAGAGACAUGGGAGAGCAUCAUUCUUUUGAGAUUUUAUAACUCAAACCAACUUUGGAGUUGUCUUGUCUGAUUUGGAGAGUCAUCAUUCUUGGUCUUCCUUCUUAAAGGCCACUGAUGAAGAACAGGUGGUGACUGGGAUGAAUGCUGGUCAAAGAAGAGAACGUCCUUUCCCCUAAACUGAUGCAGCAGUGGUUUCAAAUGAGGACACUGCCCUGGAUGAUGUAGAUGAUGUCACAUGUGCUGAUGGGGCUUCUUCAGGACUACAUCAAUUAUGCUAAAGAGAUCAUGAAAAUUGACCGUGAUACUUGAUCUGUAUUCAUGGACUAUGAAACAAACUGUAAGUGUAUAAUUUGUAAAAACAA